UGGGGAAUAUUGGACAAUGGGGGGAACCCUGAUCCAGCCAUGCCGCGUGUGUGAAGAAGGCCUUAUGGUUGUAAAGCACUUUAAGCGAGGAGGAGGGUACUGGUAUUAAUACUACCAGGUACUGGACGUUACUCGCAGAAUAAGCACCGGCUAACUCUGGGCCAGCAGCCGCGGUAAUACAGAGGGUGCGAGCGUUAAUCGGAUUUACUGGGCGUAAAGCGUGCGUAGGCGGCUAAUUGAGUCGGAUGUGAAAUCCCCGAGCUUAACUUGGGAAUUGCAUUCGAUACUGGUUAGCUAGAGUGUGGGAGAGGAUGGUAGAAUUCCAGGUGUAGCGGUGAAAUGCGUAGAGAUCUGGAGGAAUACCGAUGGCGAAGGCAGCCAUCUGGCCUAACACUGACGCUGAGGUACGAAAGCAUGGGGAGCAAACAGG
rnacentral:rRNA from 1 species